rnacentral:misc_RNA from 1 species
UGGUUCUCGCAUCGAUGAAGAACGCAGCGAAAUGCGAUACGUAAUGUGAAUUGCAGAAUUCCGUGAAUCAUCGAAUCUUUGAACGCACAUUGCGCCCCUUGGUUCUCCAGGGGGCAUGCCUGUUUGAGCGUCAUUUCCUUCUCAAACAAAUUUGUUUGGUUGUGAGUGACACUCUGUUUAUGCAGAGUUAACUUGAAAUUGUUAGCUGUUUAGAUUUGUCUAAAUUCAAUUUCCCAAAAGGAUAUUCUCAGUGAGAGUUGAUUUUUGUCGUAUUAGGUUUUACCAACUUCGACGGUGAUCAGUCUUGAGCUUUGGAUGUUAAAGUUCUCUUGGUGAAGAUGUUUUACAAGCAGUCUUGGCGAACAAUACUCUUUAAGUUUGACCUCAAAUCAGGUAGGAUUACCCGCUGA